CUGACUGGCAGGGCAGAGGUCCGGGCUUUCUUGUUCUUGCUUUUCUCUAUUUUCCCAGCAUUCUACAAAGGGCAGGCAUUGCUUCUACUAUCAAAGAAGAGC